rnacentral:rRNA from 1 species
GGGCCCGCACAAGCGGUGGAGCAUGUGGUUUAAUUCGAUGCAACGCGAAAAACCUUACCUACCCUUGACAUCCCUGAAAUCUCUCAGAGAUGAGAGAGUGCCUUCGGGAAUCAGGUGACAGGUGCUGCAUGGCUGUCGUCAGCUCGUGUCGUGAGAUGUUAGGUUAAGUCCUGCAACGAGCGCAACCCUCAUACUUAGUUGCCAGCACAUCAUGGUGGGGACUCUAAGUAAACUGCCGGUAACAAACCGGAGGAAGGUGAGGACGACGUCAAGUCAUCAUGGCCCUUAUGGGUAGGGCUACACACGUGCUACAAUGGACAGUACAAUAGGUUGCCAACCCGCGAGGGGGAGCUAAUCCUACAAAGCUGUUCUCAGUCCGGAUUGGAGUCUGCAACUCGACUCCAUGAAGUCGGAAUCGCUAGUAA